GAAAUGAGUUCCGGCAACUUUGGUUCCCUUUCAAGUUGUUCCCUGGGAGUGAAGGGACUCCUGUGACAAUAGGAUAUGUAAUUUGGGAGCCUGCGUCGGUCCUAAAUAAUAACCGGUGGAACUUGUUUUCCUUUUGCUAUGUCACUCUGGGCCAAGAUAUCUACUAUCCAAGACAAGGCACUGGUACAAUACUCCAUCUAUUGCCAAACUGGAUGAGAAUCAGAGAAGUCAGCAAGCACCCCCAAAAUACACACCAUCAAUUUCACCGAGUGGGAU